rnacentral:rRNA from 1 species
GUCCUUUUGAUUAUAUUUAAGGUCUGGCCUGCUCACUGACUAAGUUUUAAAGAGCCGCGGUAUUUUGACCGUGCAAAGGUAGCAUAAUCAUUAGUCUCUUAAUUAGGGGCUAGAAUGAAUGGCUUGACGAGAAAUCAUCUGUCUCUUUUUAAAUUAUUGAAUUUAACUUUUAAGUUAAAAGGCUUAAAUUUUUCUUUAAGACGAGAAGACCCUAUAGAGCUUAACAUUUUAUUUUUAUAUAAUUUUUAGUUAAUUUUUUUAUAUUUAAAGAUAAUGUUUUGUUGGGGUGACAUGAAGAAUAAAUAAACUCUUCAUUCUAAAAUCAUUAAUUUAUGUUUAAUAUGAUCCAUAAUUUAUGAUCAUAAGAUUUAGUUACCUUAGGGAUAACAGCGUAAUUGUUUUUGAGAGCUCAUAUUGACAAAGCAGAUUGCGACCUCGAUGUUGGAUUAAGAAUAAUUUUGGGUGCAGUAGCCCAAUAAUUAGGUCUGUUCGACCUUUAAAUUCUU